rnacentral:rRNA from 1 species
UACGUAGGGGGCAAGCGUUGUCCGGAAUUAUUGGGCGUAAAGAGCGUGUAGGCGGCCAGAUAAGUCCGCUGUGAAAUCUCGAGGCUCAACUUCGAGCUGUCGGUGGAAACUGUCUGGCUAGAGUCCGGAAGAGGAGAAUGGAAUUCCUGGUGUAGCGGUGAAAUGCGCAGAUAUCAGGAAGAACACCCGUGGCGAAGGCGGUUCUCUGGGACGGUACUGACGCUGAGACGCGAAAGCGUGGGGAGCAAACAGG